rnacentral:rRNA from 1 species
GAUGAACGCUAGCUACAGGCUUAACACAUGCAAGUCGAGGGGUAACGAGAGGAAAGCUUGCUUUCCUUGUCGACGACCGGCGCACGGGUGAGUAACGCGUAUCCAACCUGCCCCCAACUAGGGAAUAACCUUGCGAAAGUAAGACUAAUACCCUAUAAUUUCCUCAGAUGUCAUCUGACGAGGAAUAAAGAUUGAUCGGUUGGGGAUGGGGAUGCGUCUGAUUAGCUUGUUGGCGGGGUAACGGCCCAACAAGGCAACGAUCAGUAGGGGUUCUGAGAGGAAGGUCCCCCACAUUGGAACUGAGACACGGUCCAAACUCCUACGGGAGGCAGCAGUGAGGAAUAUUGGUCAAUGGGCGGAAGCCUGAACCAGCCAAGUAGCGUGCAGGAUGACGGCCCUAUGGGUUGUAAACUGCUUUUAUACAGGAAUAAAGUUAGCCACGUGUGGUUAUUUGUAGGUACUGUAUGAAUAAGGACCGGCUAAUUCCGUGCCAGCCGCCGCCGUAA